GAAUUUCAUUAAAUCCAAAGUAGAAAGUUCAACGUUUUUUUUGGAAAACGGUUUUCAAAUCUACGCCAGUAUGGAUGAGUUAAAAAAAAAGAACUUUACUGCGUUUAUUUAAGAAAAGUAUUUAAAAAAAUGGAAACUGGGUCUCUACAGGGGUUGAAAUAACGUCAACCAGGACGCACCGUUUGUUUUGAAGCCCCUCCACCGGCCCGUAUCUCGACGAAUUUUGGUUUUAUUUCUUGCAAUUUUUUUU